UUCCAAAUCUCAAAAUUUUAAUAUUGGCUUAAGAAUCGCAAGCCAUUAGAAACAGCUGUGAUUUACAUUGUGAGAGAGGAGUAAAUACUUACAACAAUGACCUACAUUAAGAAUGGCACUGAAGGAAGACAAACCAGCUCAAACUGGGAGAGCAUCCUCAGGGAAUGUCCCUGACUCAUCUGUGCAGAUUCCAUGAAGUGUGAUGAUCUCCUAGAAAUCAUACAAUUAGUUCUGGAUCAACCACAACUGACCUGAGGGUUUUUAUACCUAAAGACAGAUGCGCAGGAGAGACAGCCAUCCCAGUGGAAUCCCCAUGGGAAGAAUUAAUGCUACAUGAUGAUUUAAAUGGAAUCAAUAUAAGUAAUAUGCAUCAUAUAUGAAGGGCUAUUUCAGAAACUUGACUGUGAUGCAAAUGACAGAACUAUAUCCCAGCAGAAAUAUUAAUUUUUAACUGAAGGAAAACAAAAAGUUAAUGAAUGGAAAUAAUGAAAUAUAAUGGAUUAAAUGCAAUCUGUGUAUAGUUGAGAUCCAAAC
rnacentral:lncRNA from 1 species